ACAAAUCACACACGUGCGCGUGAUAUCGCCAUCAGCCGCAACGGCGGUCGAAGCGGCAGCCACGAUCCAUCCACUGCUGGACGAAGGCUCUCCGCCCGCGAGCCAUCAACCACUCACCACCACCAACCACCACCAACAACAACAACAACCACCACCAAACACUACGGGACUGUCGUAGACAUCAGGAGAGGCGGCGAGGGGGAGGAAACUGGGGAAAUUAGGAGGAAACGUUUAAAGUUCUGCACGGACUGGUUCACGAAAGACACGUGAUGUGCUGCCAUCUUCUGGGCGCCUCUCAGCCCAACGGGCUUGGGAGUUUCACAACGCAUUGAGGUAAUAACGAUGCAGUCACGACACAAUUCACCAUCGGGUCUGGCUAGUACGGUACGGCAAUACCCUCCAUUUAGUCUCCCCCUUUUACAUAGUUUUCGCAAAUACGUCGUCACUUUAUUACUAAUACCGCUGCACGAUUUGCAUCGCGUUAACCCCACACACGGUUGGCGGCGUAUGGUGCGAAAGAAGUUCAACAUGCGUACAUAAAUACAUGAGAAAUCUGCUUAAAGAACUAAGUUUUAAAUAGCACUGUAUUCAACUGCAUCUCGGGCAUCAACGAAGCAACGCGUCCGCACUUCAGCUGCAGGUCUACUUGUUCAGAAAUUACGGUACAACUCGAAUUUAUUUAUUAGGGAAACACUCGUGGUAAAACACGCGUGUACACACAAUGCAACAAAAACAACAAUAUUCGGACAAAUGUACAUGAGACAAUUUCAUAUGCACAGUGUAGGCGUUCACGACCGACAUGAAGUGUUUUGGGUUCGAUCAUGUUGGCGCAAAGUUAAUCAGACACAGCCGAACAAAUCCAGUUAUCAGCUGGACAAAUGUGCCAAUUGAAUUUGGGUUUGAAUUUUCAAAGGGGGAAAAAAA